UUGAUGAAAGCUUUUAGCGUUUUACUGUUAAUAAAAAGAAGAAUCGAAUCUCAUCAAU
rnacentral:tRNA from 1 species